UGGAAGGUGAGGGUUAAUGUUGGUUGAUUCAAGGAAAAGUAGGGAUCUUUCUAAAAAAUGACACGAUGAACGAAAGAACUUUAAUAUUAUAAUAGGUAGAGAUAGAGAUUUAGUGAGAAGUCAAAACCCCACUCAAAAUGUCUCCAAGUUUUCAAAUCUCUAAGGUCAGUUUAGAUUAGGAAUUUUCAGGAUUUAGUUAUGUUUGCAUUGAAUCCUAGGGUUUUGGAUUUCAAAACACCAUUUUUCCAAACAGGUCCAGUGAAAUUAAAAUUUUAAACCAUUAAAGAAAAAAUAUCCUAGGAUCUAUUUCUUAGACGCGCGACCGUGCAAAUUUAAGACAAACACAACUUUGAUUUGCAGAUUCUAUGGAGCCUAAUUGGCUAUACUCAAGUUUAAACUUAACUCG
rnacentral:lncRNA from 1 species